rnacentral:rRNA from 1 species
CCUACGGGAGGCAGCAGUGAGGAAUAUUGGUCAAUGGGCGAGAGCCUGAACCAGCCAAGUCGCGUGAAGGAUGACGGCCCUACGGGUUGUAAACUUCUUUUGUCAGGGAGCAAUUGAGUCCACGUGUGGUCUUAGCGAGAGUACCUGAAGAAAAAGCAUCGGCUAACUCCGUGCCAGCAGCCGCGGUAAUACGGAGGAUGCGAGCGUUAUCCGGAUUUAUUGGGUUUAAAGGGUGCGUAGGCGGAAUAUCAAGUCAGCGGUAAAAAUUCGGGGCUCAACCCCGUCGUGCCGUUGAAACUGAUGUUCUUGAGUGGGCGAGAAGUAUGCGGAAUGUAUGGUGUAGCGGUGAAAUGCUUAGAGAUCAUACAGAACACCGAUUGCGAAGGCAGCGUACCGGCUCCACACUGACGCUGAGGCACGAAAGCGUGGGUAUCGAACAGGAUUAGAUACCCCUGUAGUC